AGAGACAUAGAGGAUUUAUAAAUGUAAGAAGAGAGGUACUGAAGAGUGCACCUUCAUAGAAUUCAUGCAGCAGCUUCCCACAACCAACUCCAGCAACCCUGCACAGAAACGAUAGGCCUAAAAGAAGAGCGACUAGCAAUAUCGAAGUUAACCGAGAAGCCGAAGAAAAACCACUUCUUCUUACCAUCUUUGUUUCCAUGGCGGCUCGAACCAUGGCGAACCCGAGAGCAUUAGUAGCGUCAGCAGCAGCAUUAGCAUGGUUUCUGUUGUUUACGAGUCUCAUCAUCUCUGGCCAUGCUGCGCGUGCUGAAAGACCAUUACUACAUGAUAAAGCGCUGGAGGUCCCUGUGGAGGACACGGCGAGACCGGGGUUCUUGGUUAGAGCUGUUAAUUUCUUGUGGCAGAUCGGGAAGUCCUCUUAUGAGCCAGUUUGGCCUGAAAUGGAGUUUGGAUGGAAAUUAGUGGUGGGAUCGAUAAUCGGCUUCUUUGGCGCAGCACUGGGUAGUGUUGGGGGUGUUGGUGGCGGUGGAAUAUUCGUGCCGAUGCUCACUUUGAUCAUCGGCUUCGACCCCAAGUCCUCUACUGCCAUCUCCAAAUGUAUGAUAAUGGGAGCAGCGGGAUCGACCGUCUACUACAAUUUGAGACUCAGGCACCCGACGCUGGACAUACCCCUCAUAGAUUACGACCUGGCUUUGCUCUUUCAGCCCAUGCUCAUGCUAGGAAUCAGCAUUGGAGUGGCCUUCAACGUCAUGUUUGCCGAUUGGAUGGUCACGGUGCUGUUGAUCAUUCUCUUCAUCGGUACUUCAACGAAGGCAUUAUUUAAAGGCAUUGAUACAUGGAAGAAGGAGACGCUAAUGAGAAAGGAACAAGCCAAGCUGAUGGAAGAAGAAGCAAAGCAAUAUGAAGGUUCCAAGGAAGACUACAAGCCCCUGCCCAGUGGCCCAGCUGCCUCACGUGAUGAAAAGGUCUCCCUCGCAAAGAACAUCUACUGGAAAGAGUUGUCCUUGCUUCUUUUCAUAUGGGUAGCUUUCCUAGCUGUGCAGAUCGUUAAGACAUACACAAAGACCUGCUCAGUCAAGUAUUGGAUUCUGAACUCUUUACAGGUACCAAUUGCAUGCUCCGUCACACUCUUUGAAGCAAUAGCCUUAUACAGAGGGACGAGAGUGAUUGCAUCCAAAGGAAAGGAGAUUACGAAUUGGAAACUCCACCAGAUACUUCUUUACUGUUCCUGUGGUAUUAUUGCUGGUAUGGUGGGUGGUCUGCUAGGCCUCGGAGGCGGCUUCAUCCUGGGACCUCUUUUCCUUGAAUUGGGAAUCCCUCCUCAGGUAGCAAGCGCCACAUCAACCUUUGCAAUGACAUUCUCGUCUUCGAUGUCAGUCGUUCAGUAUUAUAUCCUAAAGAGGUUUCCAGUUCCAUUCGCUUCAUAUUUUGUUUUAGUUGCAACUGUUGCGGCCAUCGUCGGCCAGCAUGUGGUGAGAAAGAUCAUCGCAAUCCUUGGCAGGACAUCGAUAAUCAUCUUCAUACUGGCUUUGACCAUUUUCGUGAGCGCGAUCAGUUUAGGUGGAGUAGGCAUCUCCAACAUGGUUGAGAAGCUGAGAAUCAGGAAUACAUGGGUUUCGAAAGCCUCUGCUAUGAAUCUUAAGUGCUCUGCGCAGAUCACCAUUUGGGCUAGCUGCGAAACCUGUUCGCCGACGCCUCUGAAUGUCUGUCAAAUUUGUUUUCAACUAUAGGUAAUGUCUUCAUUGGUGGAUCCACUGUCCACUACAUGGUGUCUCCUGAAACCUAUACAGUUGGAGCUUCAUCAUGUUUUUUGAACCUUCCUGUUUGUUUAGCUUGCCUCAGCUGUAUUUGCUUGAUGAGCCUCAAUUCAAACAUUGAUGUAAUAGCUGUUCUAUGGAAUAAGAUAAAUUUUCAGUUCUUUGCA